rnacentral:rRNA from 1 species
GACGUAGGGGGCGAGCGUUGUCCGGCUUUAUUGGGCGUAAAGCGUGCGUAGGCGGCUGCGCAAGUCGGGUGUGAAACCCCGGGGCUCAACCCCGGAACUGCAUCCGAUACUGCGUGGCUAGAGGUAGGUAGGGGAGAUCGGAAUUCCUGGUGUAGCGGUGAAAUGCGCAGAUAUCAGGAGGAACACCGGUGGCGAAGGCGGAUCUCUGGGCCUUACCUGACGCUCAGGCACGAAAGCGUGGGGAGCAAACAGG